ensembl:lncRNA
ACGACAGGAAGUCCUACUUCCAGUGUUUGUGUUGUCCGUGAUGCAUAAAGGUAACAUGAUACAAUGUUGAUGUAUGCAUGACAAAUAUUCGUUUCUGUAAAUACCCGGCUAUGUGUAAAUGUGGUCUAAAGCUGUCAUAAUUUCAGCAUGAGGCUAGUAUUAUAUGUAGGUGAAGAGACUGUAGCAACCCAUUUACACAUUAUAGUUUUUCUGUCUCUGCCUCAGGUUUUCACCGAGGCUUCUAUGGCUAAAAGUGGGCACGUCUAACCGCAAGCAAAAAUGUGUGGCUAGAUACUUCCAUGCCACUGUUGUGGAAGAGGGAGGUGUGUAAUGUACUUUCUUUGUUAUUGAAGUGCUCAUGACAGCAGUUGAACAUGUGGAUUAGGCCAAAAACACAAAGAUCGUCUCCAUAUAUGUUAAGGGUGUGUCCCAAUAUGAUUAGAAGCGACAGAGGGAAGGAGAACUUUGUUGUCGGCCAAAUGCAAAUCGCAUAUCAGGUGCGGCAACUUGGAGAGCAAGCAUGGCAAGCCUUCAGAAUGGGGACAUCAGUGCACAACCAGGUAGUGGUUUUUUUUUUUUUUUUUUUUUUUUUUUUUUGUCUAAUGAAUAUACUAACAGUGAUGUGAAUUUUUGCUAAUCUAAAGGGAAGUAUAUUUUUUUCUUUCCUUUUUUAGAGAGCUGAAAGCUUCAACAGUAUCUUGAAGUGGACAUGGAUAAAAUAAAUGGCUGACAAGGUUUGAGGUGAACAAAAUGAGCCGAAGCGGAAUGGUGCCAUGUACAGUAGAGUCCCGCCCAUGGGCCCUACAGCCUGUCCUUGUACACGGCUACCUUGGCGAAGCUGGACAGUGUCCCUAAUGUUGGCCAAACCCCAGUCUGUUAGGACUGCCCUCUUCGAAUCUGAAUCUGAAAUUGAAUCUGAAAGGUACAGAAAAAUUAUGAAUGUUGUACGAAAGUACUGUAUGACCUGGGAAGGUAUAUUUAAACUUAUAAAAGCAAA